rnacentral:rRNA from 1 species
CCCUAUCGGAGGCAGCAGUGGGGAAUCUUACACAAUGCAGCAGUGCGGGAGGCAACACAACGCGCGAAAGCAUGAAGCAGCAAGGCUGCUGUGAGCUCUGUAUCCUGAUUCUAUCCCUCGAUCCUCCCCGACUGACGACGUACUGCAGAUAGCACGCUAGCUU